rnacentral:rRNA from 1 species
AUGGAAGCUCUGGCAAGCGAUCACCUAGCUGCCGUCAAGCACCUGCUUCGGUACAUCGCGGGUACGCUCACGCAUGGAUGCGUGUAUCGUCGUGGCGACGGCGAGAGCUUGGUCGGGUACAGCGACUCCGACCAUGCUGGUGACAUGGACUCUCGGAAAAGCACCUCAAGCAUACUAUUCCUUCUCGGGAAUAGUCUCGUCAGCUGGCAAUCAGUGAGGCAGAAGGUUGUCGCCGUAUCUUCGUGCGAGGCGGAGUACAUCACGGCAGUUACAGUGGCCUGUCAAGGCAUUUGGCUUGCUCGCCUUCUCGGCGAGAUGCUGAAUCAGGACACCCCCCUUGCGCUCAUCUUCGUCAACAUCAAGUCGGCGAUUUCCCUCUGCAAGAAUCCAGUGCUUCACGACCGCAGCAAGCACAUCGAUCUCCUCUAUCACUUCAUACGUGAUUGCGUCGAGAAAGGCACGGUGAUUGUGGAGUUCAUCAGGACUGGAGAGCAGAAGGCGGACAUCCUGACGAAGUCAGUUGGUCGUGUCCGGUUCCAGGAGUUUCGCGACAAGGUUGGGAUCAUCGACAUCAAGCUCCUUCGACAAGGUUGA